CUACGGGUCGCACCAGUGGGGAAUAUUGGGCAAUGGGCGCAAGCCUGACCCAGCAACGCCGUGUGAGGGAUGAAGGUCUUCGGAUUGUAAACCUCUGUCAGAAGGGAAGAAGUGCAUAGGGUCCAAUAGGCCUUAUGCUUGACGGUACCUUCAGAGGAAGCACCGGCUAGCUCCGUGCCAGCAGCCGCGGUAAUACGGAGGGUGCAAGCGUUAUUCGGAAUUACUGGGCGUAAAGCGUACGUAGGCGGCGAGGUAAGUCAGGUGUGAAAUCCCACGGCUCAACCGUGGAACUGCACUUGAAACUGCUUUGCUCGAGUACUGGAGGGGAUGGCGGAAUUCCUGGUGUAGGAGUGAAAUCCGUAGAUAUCAGGAGGAACACCGGUGGCGAAGGCGGCCAUCUGGACAGUAACUGACGCUGAGGUACGAAAGCGUGGGGAGCAAACAGGAUUAGAUACCCCAGUAGUC
rnacentral:rRNA from 1 species